rnacentral:rRNA from 1 species
AUUGAACGCUGGCGGCAGGCCUAACACAUGCAAGUCGAACGAGUGGCGGACGGGUGAGUAAUGUCUGGGAAACUGCCUGAUGGAGGGGGAUAACUACUGGAAACGGUAGCUAAUACCGCAUACCAUCAAAUGUUCCCAGAUGGGAUUAGCUUGGUGGUGGGGUAACGGUUCACCAAGGCGACGAUCCCUAGCUGGGCUGAGAGGAGGACCAGCCACACUGGAACUGAGCAACGGUCCAGACUCAGACGGGAGGCAGUAGUGGGGAAUAUUGCACAAGGGGCGCAAGCCUGAUGCAGCCCUGCCGCGUGGAGGAAAGAGGCCUUCGGGUUGUAAAGGACUUUCAGCGGGGAGGCGUUACCCGCAGAAGAAGCACCGGCUAACUACGUGCCAGCAGCCGCGGUAAUUC